GUUUUUGGCUUCUCUUUGGAACAGGCUUUGAGAUGAAUCACGUUUGUGGAUGAGGCCCCUGAUGUUCUGUUUAUUGUGACGCUUUGGUGCUUGAGAGCCAAAGGUCAAAGGAAAGACCCACACUGUGCCCUGACAGUAACCUCCUUGGAUCAUGAGGUACAAGGAGACGUCCCCCUCUCCACCAACACAGAGGAGGAACUUAUGAUGGAAGCAUAAUGUCUACUCAAGAAUGAGGAAGAAGAUGCCACGUAUAAGGGAUGUCAUAAGCUGAGCGCCGAAGAAUUGAUGCCUUUG